AAUUCAGCCCUUUAAACGCGUGACUGGUGAUAAAAUUGAUUAUUGUCCCUAUGGUCUUUAUAGGGCUCUUCUUACCCCUGUACAUCGUCAGUUGGGAGAUCAUGACAACAACGCUAUUUUGAAACGAACCCGUUCUAUUUUCUCUUUUCAUCUUGAGGAUUCAAUUUUUCCUCUUGAUCUCAAAUCAGAGUUUAUUCAUUUCAAAUUACUCAAAGUCUUGGAGUUGAGACACAGAGAGAUUGAUAAUUUCCCUCUACAGAUACUAAUCCUCAUCUGGUUGAGGUACCUAUCAUUGCUCUGCCAUGAGGAGAAUUUAGACAUACCUCCAGAAAUUUGUAGGUUAUGGAAUCUGCAGACAUUCAUUGUUCAAGGGCCUAUUCGAUCAGUUAUAACUUUGCCUGAGGAAAUUUGGGGACUAAUGCAAUUAAGGCAUCUCAAACUGCCAACAUUUUAUCUGCCAAAUCCUCCAAGCGUAUCUGCUGACAAAGGAAGGCACUUGGAUUUUUCAAACAUACAAACUAUUUCUUAAUUGUCUCCACGUUGCUGCACGAAGGAGGUUAUUAUGGGAAUUCAGAAUGUCAAAGAAUUAGGAAUCAAUGGAUAUGAGACUGAAGAUGCAAGAAGUUUUCGGGAAUCUGGAUUUUUCAACAAUCUUGUCUAUCCGCAUCAACUUGAAAAAUUAAGUUUUAUACAUUGUUAUGCCCUUUUGUCAGCAAGUGUAAAAGCUUUUCCAGCAACGCUCAAGAAGCUGAAGUUGGAAAGAACUUCGCUAAGUUGGUCGUACUUGGACAUCAUAGCUGAAUUGCCUAACCUUGAGGUGCUGAAGCUGAUCGAGGAUGGUUGUUGUGGCGAAGAAUGGCAUCCAAAUGUCAGGGGAUUUACUCGAUUGAAGAUUUUGUUAAUUCAACGUUGUUUUCUCGAGUACUGGAAAAGCGACAGAUGACAAUUUUCCUGUUCUUGAGCGCCUCGUGCUUACAAAAUGCACUUAUUUGAAAGAGAUACCCAUUGAGUUUGCAGAAAUACACACACUACAACUGAUUGAGUUAACAAGUUGUCUUCCCAAACUUGAGGAAUCUGCUGCACAAAUUCAACAAGAGCAAGAAGAGAAUGGAAACAACCCCGUGGAUGUUCAUAUCUCCAAUCCAUGGUGGAGUAAUUUUUAUUCAUAAGAUCAAUAGUAGAACGAUUGAACUCCCGGGAUUUCAUUUUGGUUCAUCUAUAAGACGUAGAAGGGUCAGACUAUAAGGAUCUAACUGACGUAGUCUUACCCUGCAAUUUUGCAAGAGGCUGUUUCCACAUCUUGAACUAGUGAGCUACGGGUCACAUAGCAGCAGCUUUAUUUGUUAUUGUGGCUUCCAAGGAGAUGUGGUUUCUCUAAAUUGUAAUAAUGUUGCUGUAUUUUUAUUGUAACAUAUUUUUGAGUUAAUACAAUUGUUAGUAAUACUACCCAUGGUUUUCUA